UUUAUGGAGAGUUUGAUCCUGGCUCAGGAUGAACGCUGGCGGCGUGCCUAAUACAUGCAAGUCGAGCGAACUGACGAGGAGCUUGCUCCUUUGACGUUAGCGGCGGACGGGUGAGUAACACGUGGGUAACCUACCUAUAAGACUGGAAUAACUCCGGGAAACCGGGGCUAAUGCCGGAUAACAUGUUGAACCGCAUGGUUCAACAGUGAAAGCAUCGGUCUUGCUGUCACUAUAGAUGGACCGCGCCGUAUUAGCUAGCUGGUGGUAAGUAACGGCUUAAUAAGGCGACGAUACGUAGCCGACCUGAGAGGGUGAUCGGCCACUGGAACUGAGGACACGGUCCAGACUCUACGGGAGGCAGCAGUAGGGAAUCUUCCGCAAUGCGAAAAGCCCGGACGAGCAAACGCCGGCGAAGGUCUUCGGAUCGUAAAGCCUGUUGUUAGGGAAGAAAUACAUGGGCAAUCAGCACAUCUUGACGGUACCUAACCAAGCCAAUGGCUGGUCCACGUGCCAGCAGCCGCGGUAAUACGUAGGGUGGCGCGCGUUAUCCGGAAUUAUUGGGCGUAAAAGCGCGUGGUGGUGGUUUUUAAGUCUGAUUGUGAACUUGCCCAACCGUGGAGUGGUCAUUGGAAAAUGGAAAACUUGAGUGCAGAAGAGGAAAGUGGAAUUCAUGCGGUGAAAUGCGCAGAGAUGGCGGAGGAACACCAGCAAGAAGGCGGCUUCGUCUGUAACUGACGCUGAGGUGCGAAAGCGUGAUCAAACAGGAUUGAUACCCUGGUAGUCCACGCCGCAAACGGAUGAGUGCCAAGUGUUAGGGGUUUCGCCCCUUAGUGCUGCAGCUAACGCAUUAAGCACUCCGCCUUGCUGGUCGCAAGACUGAAACUCAAAGGAAUUGAUUUAACGCACAAGGUGGGAGCAUGUGGUUUAAUUCGAAGCAACGCGAAGAACCUUACCAAAUCUUGACUUUUGAUCGCUCUAGAGAGAUAGAGUUUCGGGAGGACAAAAAUGACAGGUGGUGCAUUGUCGUCAGCUCGUGUCGAGAUGUUGGUUAAGUCCCGCAACGAGCGCAACCUCCUGCUUAGUUGCCAUCAUUGUUAAGCAAUUAAGUUGACUGCCGGUGACAAACUGAGGAAGGUGGGGAUGACGUCAAAUCAUCAUGCCCCUUUAUGACGUACACACGUGCUACAAUGGACAAUACAAAGGGCAGCGAAACCGGGCGAGGUCAAGCAAACUUACAAAGUUGUUCUCAGUUCGAUAGUCUGCAACUCGACUACAUGAAGCUGGAAUCGCUAGUAAUCGUAGAUCAGCAUGCCACGGUGAAUUCCCGGGUCUUGUACACACCGCCCGUCAGCACCACGAGAGUUUGUAACACCCGAAGCCGGUGGAGUAAAAUCCAUUUUGGGAGCCAGCCGUCGAAGGUGGGACAAAUGGAUUGGGGUGAAGUCGUAACAAGGUAGCCGUAUCGGAAGGUGCGGCUACCUCCUUUCU
rnacentral:rRNA from 1 species